CGGUCGUGGAGAGUCUCCAUCCAGCUGGAUCUCUGUCACAGUGAAACCCACCACUACAGGUCCUCCUUCAAGCACCCCCUAUUCUCCUGGUUCCUCCUCCUCUUCCUCUCUGUGGUCUGCUGUUCUAUCUUUCUCUGGUUCUACUGGUUCUUCUGGUUCUACUGGUGAGACGAUGCCUCCAUAAGAAACCUAAAGCUGCUGAAAUAGAAUUUGGAGAUGAAGACAUCACAGAUGACAUCACUGAUCUACAGCAGCCAAUCAGACGCAGCAGAGUCUCCGUGCCCUCUCCUCCCCGUCUGCCAGCCUCCCUCAAGCCUCCAGCCUAAGCGCCUUCUGCUCCUCCAGCUACUCGGUUCCCCGGGUCCUCGUCUGCCUCUCCCCCUCUUUCCACCCG